GUAGGGUGCGAGCGUUAAUCGGAAUUACUGGGCGUAAAGCGUGCGCAGGCGGUUAUGCAAGACAGAUGUGAAAUCCCCGGGCUCAACCUGGGAACUGCAUUUGUGACUGCAUGGCUGGAGUGCGGCAGAGGGGGAUGGAAUUCCGCGUGUAGCAGUGAAAUGCGUAGAUAUGCGGAGGAACACCGAUGGCGAAGGCAAUCCCCUGGGCCUGCACUGACGCUCAUGCACGAAAGCGUGGGGAGCAAACAGGAUUAGAUACCCUGGUAGUCCACGCCCUAAACGAUGUCAACUGGUUGUUGGGAAGGUUCCUUCCCAGUAACGUAGCUAACGCGUGAAGUUGACCGCCUGGGGAGUACGGCCGCAAGGUUG
rnacentral:rRNA from 1 species